rnacentral:rRNA from 1 species
ACGCUCGACACCUACGGAGGCAGCAGUGGGGAAUAUUGCACAAUGGGGGAAACCCUGAUGCAGCGACGCCGCGUGAGUGAAGAAGUAUUUCGGUAUGUAAAGCUCUAUCAGCAGGGAAGAAGAUGACGGUACCUGAGUAAGAAGCCCCGGCUAACUACGUGCCAGCAGCCACGGUAAUCUGAGCGGGCUGGCAAGGC